UACGUAGGUGGCAAGCGUUGUCCGGAUUUACUGGGCGUAAAGAGCGCGCAGGCGGUCGAUCAAGUCGCGUGUGAAAGCCCCCCGGCUCAACUGGGGAGGGUCACGCGAUACUGAUCGACUCGAAGGCAGGAGAGGGUAGUGGAAUUCCCGGUGUAGUGGUGAAAUGCGUAGAUAUCGGGAGGAACACCGGUGGCGAAGGCGGCCAGCCUGGACGGUAACUGGACGCUGAGACGCGAAAGCGUGGGGAGCGAACAGG
rnacentral:rRNA from 1 species